GUUACAUAAUAGUACGGAGUUUUUUCCCCUAUUCCACCAUCUGUGUUCGUGUUCGAUUGAAAUCAGCUAUGGUCAUACUGGAAAAUCUACCACUAUAAACGUCAGCGAUCAACAUCAACAGAGACACUAUAGCACAUAGCAUUAAACGCACUAUUGCUUCACUCUUUGUACACACUUUGACAUCACUUAUGGUUUGGCGCGCGUCGUACGUUUUUCAAACGUUUAUGUUUGAUUCAAAUCCAACAUCAGAUGUAAUGUACUACGAAUGAAGCUUGCCCCACGUCAGAUCGAUUGGCCCUACAUUCAUCGAGCAUUUCUUUAUUUAAACGUUGCUUACGUCUUUUGAAACGUCAUUCGAACCACUGAUAAAAUACAAAACACCCAUUUGCACGUUAUGCAAGGUAGUACGUCGAAGAUUGUUAUUACGUAAUAAAUACAUUGAUACUAAAUUGGAAAUCAACAAUCGCACCGAAUUUGAUACACUUCAAAUGUUUUGGUUUCAAAGUGGCUGCGAAUUGAACGUUGGUAAAAACUGAUUUAGGCCAAUUUGAAGUAAGAUAAUAAAAUUUAAAAGGUUAAAUCAAGGAUAUCUUACGCCAUUUCAUCUUAUAUGUUUUUAAUUGAAUAUUAACUUGACAAAGUUAAUAAGUUCGAACCUCUAUAAUUUGUUCAAUUUAUAUAUCAUUUUUCAAUAAAUUGAUUUGAAACUACCUCAAAACUGCAAUGAGUUAUUUGUUAUGCGAACGCUCAAACGGCCAUUGUUGAUGUAGGGACCAAUCCAGUAAUCCACAGACAUGCAAUGGCUACUGGAUGACAAAUCUACAACACACUCGAAUGCGUAUAUUUGCGCGCACAUUAACAGUGGCCGUUUGAGCGUUCGCAUAACAAAUAACUCAUUGCAGUUUACUUUUGAGAUAAUUUCGCCCAAAAGUAGUUGAAACCGCUAUAUUCAGUCUAGGUAAUAUUACUCACUAAAACACAACUACUGGGAAGAGUUCUAGAUUGAGUUAAAUGUUCACACCUAAUCCAAUGUAUUGAAACUCCAUAUACAUGCUCGGAGUAUGUGUUUUUUACAAAUACUAAUCAAUACUUCCAUAUGUAUGACAAAAAACCGGCCUUUCAUUUACAUUUUAAAUGAAUAUUGAUAAAAAUUGCAGACGGUUUAAAUUAGUAAGUAAUAAAAAUGUAGCUCCAAAU